UGGACAAUUGAUGGGGGAGCUGAGUCUCUAGAAAAGCCCAAGCACAGGCUUUCGGGCAAGAAAAUGAAAAUGCUUGUAGACAGGACCAAAAUCUGUUGAUCCUGGGCCAGAAAGGGAAUUCUUCAGAUUCCAAUUCUAAAUGGGUUGGGGAAGGCUGAUUAGAGAGGGCAGAGCCAGAGGGUCAGCGCCCCACUUGACUUCUGCUGACUCUGACUUGAACAUUCUUCCCGGAACUCAGUAUAGACACAGCCUUUUUCCAUGGUUAUACCUAAAACAAGCCAGUUGGAAAAGCUGUUAGGAUGGCUUGAUCAGUUUGCUUCCACCAAUAUUAGAAAGUUUUGUGGGUGUUAAAUAGUUCAAAAUCUGUAUUUGAAAUAGCAUAAUAAUUUUUUAAAAUGUGAAGUAUAACAAUGAAACUUUCUAUAGAGUCUGACAGCUUUUCAAGACAAUUUUCCCUGUACAAUUUCAUCUAUUUAUUGAUUGGAGCCUGGCCUAUUUCCAAAACUGUUUUGAGGUGACAUUAUCUCAAAAUGCAUGUAUUCUUCAGCUAGGGGUAAAGCACAGCCCUAUGUUCUGCUAAGUAAUAUGAGGAUCCUGAUAGCCAAUGCCAUCCAUAAAGUGUCUUUCAGCCACAGCUUCAGUCUGAGCGUAUGCGACCAGGGUAGUUAUAUGUCCCUAUUUGCAGCUACAGAAAUAAAGGAAGCACUGCUCAGUGUUUCCCCAAGUCACAUGGUCUGUGUUCUGUCGCGACUCACAACUGAAUCACAGAGUAGGGAGGUGUCUUAGCGAUGACUCAGUUCUCCCCUGCAUUGAUGCAUAUUAAUGUUAUUCCUCACUACCCACAGCCCAUCUCAUCUGGAGGUUUUAUUCUUCUUGAUUGUCUCAGUGUCAAGGAGUUCACUGCCUCAUGAGGCAGCUCAGGAACUGGGCUAUAAAUAAUGACUCAUUGUUGUAACAUUGAUUUCUCUCCUCACUCCUGGAAUCUCAGAAGAGUAAAGGGAGAAAUAGGGCCAGUGUUGUACAAUUGAUUCCCUCUUUCUUUGUAAAGGCUGCCAGGUGACUUGCUAGGAAAGAGAAACGGGAGGAAGGGGCUAGCAUUUAGAGUGAAUGUUUGCAACGGGAGAGGCACUUUGUUAGGUGCCUUAUAUUUGCUGCUGUUUAUUUUGGUCUUCACAAAGUUCUUGUACUCAUGAGUAAACUAAGUCUCAGGGAGAUCAAAAGCCUUAUCCAGAAUCACCCAAUAAGGAAGGUGGAUUUAGAAUUUGGGAUUUUAUCAUCUUAGUUCAGUUCAUUUUACCAUUUCUGGGGAACUUGCUAUGUGCCAGGCACUGUGUUAAAUACUUCCCACACAUAUUUUUGAUAAUACUUGAAUCAAUCUGGCAUUAAUAUACCUAUUUGACAGGUGAAGAAAUGGAGGCUUACAAAGUCAAGUGACUUUCCCAGGGUGAAAAAACUAGUACAUGGUAUGACCAGGAUUCAAAUCUAGUUGUGAUUGAACCCAAAUCCUGUGUCUUUUCAUAGCCCCCUGCAGCCCCAGGAUUUAGCUUCCAAAUACUAAGUAUGACAGCACAUUGGGCAUCAGCCACACACCUGGCUCUGGCCUAAGCUCUGGGAUACAAGGCGAUGGAUGAGGUAUACCAUGCCCCCUAGUAAUGAGCUAAGUGUUAGUUGCUAUGUUGCAGAGCAGGGUCACAUUAACUAAUAUUUUAAGCAGUAACGAUACAGUGCUUUGGGCGUUGACAUAAGGAAGAGAUGGACUGGGAGUUGUUUUUUGUUUUUAAGAGGGAAGAAUUGAAAAAAGUUAGUGGAUAGUAGACUUUCAAAAAUGUUUGUCCAUUAGAAUGGAGUUGUAUGUAUCCAGAGGGUAAUAUUCCCAUAGGCAUAAAAUGUUAAGAAGACUGACUCAUACCUGGAAUUUGGAAAGGUAGCCUUCCCAGAUAUUUUGGGAACUUCUUUGUUGAGAGAGAGAGAGAGAGAUGCCCAAUAUGACAGCACAUUGGGCAUCAGGCAUAUGGCUGAUCCUGGGGCCGCAGGGGACCAUGAAAAGACACAGGAUUUGGGUUCAAUCAUGAGAGAAAGGGAAUCCUUUCCCUAGCUUCUUACACAGAGAAUCUGUAGGACCUGCUGGAAUCACUAGUUGGUUUUGUUUCCCAAGAGGAAGGUUUUCUAAGGCACACCCCUACAUUUUUUUUUUUUUAAAUCAGCAUUCACUGUAAGAAAAAAAAUCGACAUAAUAUUCUCAUAAUGAUUUCUCCUAAUAAAGAUGGAUAUUGUUACAGUUACACUACAGUAAUCUUAUGACUCUCUGUAUACACUGAAUGCCAUUCAUUCAUUCAUUCAUUCCUAAGAAGUUACUGAAUGUAUAGCACAGAGCUUGGUGAGGCACUCUGGGGACAUGCAAAGAGUCAUGGGGCUUCUUCUGCGGAGAUGCUCACAGUAUGCAAUGGAGCAUAAUGUAUACACCAAGUAGAAAUUGAGAUAGGAUGUGGUAAAUGUCUUGAAAGUGGUGUAAGGAGAGUGCUGUGGGAAUUCCGAGGCGAAAAGAUUACCUCUGACUGUGGAUUUAAGAGCUUCAUGGUUGGCCCGGCAUGGUGGCUCAUGCCUGUAAUCCCAACACUUUGGGAGGCCGAGGCAGGUGGAUCACCUGAGGUCAGGAGUCCAAGACCAGCCUGGCCAACAUGGUAAAACCCCAUCUCUACUAAAAAUACAAAAAAUUAGCCGGGCGUGGUGGCAUGUGCCUGUAAUCCCAGCUACUGAGGAGGCUGAGGCAGGCGAGUCAUUUGAAUCUGGGAGGUGGAGAUUGCAGUGAGUCGAGAUCUCACCAUUGCACUCCAGCCUGGGCAACAAAAGUGAAACUCCAUCUCAAAAAUGAAAUAAAAUAAAAUAAAAAUAAAAAUAAAAUAAAAUAAAUAAAAUAAAUAAAAGCUUCAUGGAAGAGAUGGUCUCUGAACUGGACCCUAGGGACAACUAGGAUUUGGAAGCCCUGAGCUAGGUGGGAAGGCACACCACACAUAUAUAGCAAAGUACGGAAGUCUCAUUGGGCUUGGGGUUUGAUGAUGGGUUUAGACGCAGCUCUGACACUGACUUGGCUGGGUGCUCUUGGACAAGCCACUUAGCCUCCUCAAGCUGCCUCAUUAGUGUAAUUGGGGUAAUACCUCCUUCAUAGGGUGUUACGAGGAUUAAAGGAUAUAACAUGUUGAGCAUGGAGCAUGGUGCCUGGCACAUAGUAAGUACGAAAUGAGCAUUAGUUAGAGCUGAUUCUGAAUCUACCAUUUCCUUUUGAUGUGCUUAUCUUUCAAAAGUGGUGGUUUCCUUGCUUGUGGCCCCUGUCCACUUUGGUCACUGUUGGCUGGGGCCCGUGGAGCUGUCCAGAGGGGACCGGGGCCAGUAGAGUAGAGGACAGUAUUUGUAGAGCAGGCAUUUCUUCUGAGGUUCCUUGGGAUCCCCUGAGCUAUGAAAGCUGGAAGCAGUUGAAAGUUUUCAGGGAGAGGGAUGCUGGAGUCUCAGAACUUUAGAGGUGCUGCAGGAGUCAGUUCUGGCAGUGAGAGAACACUUGGGCGGGUUUCACACACACACAGCACUUGAGCCAGUCUUGGGCAGAAGGGGCCUCACUUCCAAGCACAAGGAGUGUUAACGAAAAAAUUAUUAACAUGGUAAGGAAGACUUUAUUCAGGGCCAUUGCAGUAGGCAUCCCAAUAGUGGGGAGAGAUGGGGCUCAAUUCCAAGUACAAGAAGAACAAGUGGGCACUUAGCCAAGGAGCAGGUGGGAGGGGGUCAGAGGAUAGAAAAUUACUAAGAGGAGACGUCAAGGUUAGGGGGAUUCUUGCUGAAGUCAGGCCAAGGACUUAGACUAUCAGAGGUGGUGGGUGAGGAAUUUGAUCAGAUAUUGAAGGUGGGGGAUUCUCACUAAACUGACUUAGCAGGAUUCUUGCUAAAGCUGAAUUCUGCCAGGAUGGAAACGGAAGCCCAGGGAGAGGCCGGGUAGAGAAGAGGAUUCAGAGGAGCCUGACUAAAGUUUGGUCAGGGAGAGAGUCUGUCAGGGGGAUCAAAUGAGGAAAGACAAACUGGUCUAGAGAAAGUGGCUACUGACCACCAUCACCCCUUAUAGAACGUCUGUCUGUCCCCAUCAGCAUGAGUUCUUUUGCUACAUAGAGUGUGCACAGACACCCCAGCUUUCUUCCAGUGCACUGGAGAAGUAGGGGUGUCUCCAGACCCAGAUUACGGAAAAGCCUCACAGAGACUAAUCAGUAUCCAAACCUUUCUCCACACCUUUACUGGAAGCAGAUUUCAAAGAGCUCUCCUAGAGUCUGGUAUUCUUUUCCUUCCCUUCUUCUCACCUGAUUAGCACUUGAAAAGGAUAAAAGAUGAGCUGAGCAACUUAGAUGAAGAGAAACCUGGAGCUCUGGUUACUCCCAGGCUUGCACCUGGUUAGGGGAGAGCCUUCAGUCGGGAUGCCAUGUGUGCUGGAAGGGUCCUGGUGCACACAGCCAGAGGCCGUAUCUAAACUCAUGUACUGGGGUGGGGGGUAAAGUGGGGAGCACACGUGCUGAGCAGGGAGGAGAUGGAUUGUUUUAGCCUCCCAGGCCUCCAACACCGUAAUUUUCAGGCAAAGGUAAGAUCAGACAGAAUGAUCCUGUCAGGAAGCUUCUAGAACGGGAAAGCAUGUUUUUACUUUCAUGGCUGUGAUCCUUAGUCCACUUUUUCUCUAGACUUGUUCUGAUAUCUCUUAAGCCAGGAGAAAGUUGGGUUUUCCUUUUCCGUCAGCGAUUGGAACACAGUAUGUUUCUAUUUGAAUGACUGGGCACUCAAGCGAGUCCCCUGUACCUGAGUGGUGGGCUGAGAAAGUUCCUCCAUCAUUGAAGGAGUUGUCUGAGUGCAGGGAGGGGUUUUAGAGAAGAGCUAAGAACCCUGUGGUGGGAAGCAGCAGUCAGGCCAUCCCCGUUCUGUGCUGCUCAGGCUCUGACAGUCUCCCUUGCGUUGUCUAAUUUACAGGUUGAGGUUGUGAGGUUCUACCCCUGGUAAUCCAAAUAGUCCCACUGUGAUCUCAUUCCUUCUGCAUAUUGUGAGCAGGCACACGAUGGGCGAGACAGAGUUUUAAUUCCCCAAGGGCAAACACUUACUGAUUAGAAGAAUGACGCUGUGGGAGGUGGGGAAACUCACAGAAAGACAGGGCCAUGCCUGGUUAACUCUCUUCUUAUUUGUCCAAGUUUUCCUUCUCUAAGGAAGGGAAACCUCUCCUGAUUCCAAUUCUUAGAUGAUGAAGCAUUAAACCAGGAGCAGUGUUUUUCGUAAACUGCUCGCUAUUGUAAAACAAGAAGUGCCCUGGUUCCAACGUAGCUCUCUUAAGCUAGGAUUUAUCUGUAGUGAGGAAGUGCUGAGUAUGGCAAGAACCAGCUUCCUUCACCUGAAGAAGUGAUAAUGGCUAACACUGACUGAGUUUCUACUUUGUGCCCAGGCUUAAUACAGGUAAUUGUCACAUAGCCCUAAGGUGUGAGUACUAUUAUCAAUCCCAUUGCACAGAUGAAGAAAACUGAGGCUCAGAGAGCCUAAGUUGCGUAGACCCCCAGAGUUCAUAAGGGAUGGCACCUGGAUUUGAAUUCAGGUUUGCUUGUUUUCACAGCCACAAUGCUAUAUUUAUCAUUCGUUCACUGUACAAACUUUAUUGUGCACCAGCAAUGUACCAAUGUGCUGGGGGACACAGUAAACAGCAUAGAUGCAAAUGUCUGCCCUAACAUUACGAGAGGGGCAGGAGGGACAGAAAAUAAUAGAAUAAGUAAGUUAAAUGUGUUGUAUGUUAGGUGGCAAUAAGUGAGAUGGAGAAACAUAAAGCAGAGAAGGAAUAUUGUGGGAUAGAAGUGUUGCAAUUUUAAAUGGAUGGCCAGGAAGCACCUCCCCCAGAGGGAGGUAAGGAAACAGGCCUUGUGGGUAUUUGAGGGAAAAGAUUCUAGACAAAAAGAACAGAAGAAAAAUGAUAAAUCAUUAUGAAAGUCAUAAUUUUCAAAAGAUGAAAUUCAAAACAGGAAACCUCAUUGUGAAAAUAGAGUGGGGAUGGGCUCAAUGGUAUUGGGAUGAGGGAAAUCCCACUUGCAAAAAUCCCACUGUACCCCUUUUCUACGCCUGCCCCCCAUGGAUUUUCCAGGCUGGAACUGCUUUGGCCCAUUGUACUGUACUGUGUUCACCCUUCACCUACACAAGAUCUGGGCUCAAGUGCAGGGAGGAAAGUUUCCAUUACCAAGUAGAGCUGGAGGCUGCAUUUCUAUUAUACUCAAGAUGGAAAAACAAGCCCACUUAUUCCUAGGGAACAGCAUUUUUUUU
rnacentral:lncRNA from 1 species